AUGCCUCAUACAUGCAAGUCGAACGCGACCUUCGGGUCGAGUGGCGCACGGGUGAGUAGCGCGUGGGAACCUACCCUUUUGUGGGGGAUAACCGAGGGAAACUUCGGCUAAUACCGCAUGCGCCCGGAGCAAUCCGGGGAAAGAUUUAUCGCAGAAGGAUGGGCCCGCGUCGGAUUAGCUAGUUGGUGGGGUAACGGCCUACCAAGGCUAUGAUCCGUAGCUGGUCUGAGAGGAUGAUCAGCCACACUGGGACUGAGACACGGCCCAG
rnacentral:rRNA from 1 species